CCUACGGGGUGCACCAGUGGGGAAUAUUGCACAAUGGGCGCAAGCCUGAUGCAGCCAUGCCGCGUGUGUGAAGAAGGCCUUCGGGUUGUAAAGCACUUUCAGCGGGGAGGAAGGCGUUAAGGUUAAUAACCUUGGCGAUUGAGGUUACCCGCAGAAGAAGCACCGGCUAACUCCGUGCCAGCAGCCGCAGUAAUACGGAGGGUGCAAGCGUUAAUCGGAAUUACUGGGCGUAAAGCGCACGCAGGCGGUCUGUCAAGUCGGAUGUGAAAUCCCCGGGCUCAACCUGGGAACUGCAUUCGAAACUGGCAGGCUAGAGUCUUGUAGAGGGGGGUAGAAUUCCAGGUGUAGCGGUGAAAUGCGUAGAGAUCUGGAGGAAUACCGGUGGCGAAGGCGGCCCCCUGGACAAAGACUGACGCUCAGGUGCGAAAGCGUGGGGAGCAAACAGGAUUAGAUACCCGUGUAGUC
rnacentral:rRNA from 1 species